UUCGAGGAUGAGUUAGUGUUCCGCAUCUUGAUUUUAGUGACUCAGAGCAAGGAGUCAAAUAUGCUCGUUGCAAAUAGGAACAAGUUCGUUGAUGGAAGGAGGAUUGAAAACUUUUUUUGUCAUUGUAACAAUGGAUUUAUCAAAAGGUAUAAGAUGUUUGCCAACUUGAUGUUUGUGCCUCAUAUAAACACAGUCAUCUACCAUGGUGCGCAAUCAAAAAUUCAUAACGUUCAAGGAAUAUCAAGGUUACAUCCAGUAAGUUGGGAACAUAUUCGAUUUUUCUGGAAAUCGAUGAAGAAUUUGUGGAAAUGAUUGCAGUGUUACCAAAAAAAGCUUAAACCGUCAUCUUCAACGUUGCCAAUGUUCCUCCUAAAAGAAGACGUCGAUAAGGCCAAUUGAAAAUAUGCUGUUAAAUGUCAUUAGCGUAGCUUAUGUCUGUUGGGACUACGAGGAAUCAAGGCUGUCAAAUUAUAACUUUAGCAUAAAAAUACAUAAGAAAUUCUAUUUCAUUGGUUUUCGCACGGGUUCAUGGCAUCACCUUUCGGUUGUGCAAUGAAAAUCAGUUUCUACCACUGAUGACUUCUACUGCAAGAUUUGGUAUGGAAGGUUUCGUUACGAAGGAAGAUUCCAUGCCGCUAAGAAAACAGAAGAGAAAUAAAGAAGAAGUGAGCAUAGGAAUGAAUUCAGGGAGCUAUUUUAACAUGCCAAGCAGGCUUCGGAAGCACAUUUCUCGAGAACAUUUGUCACAAAUAAUUUUUGAAGACCAUUUUCACUGCCACACUCAAACGCUAGUGAAAUAUGCUUAGCUUGCUACUUUUACUUUCGGUAGGGGAAUCGUGUGCAGAAUUUGCGCACUAAUUUCGACGCUCCCUCCCACGGCAGGGACCUCUUUGGCUCUUCCCAAAUCUUUGCAGCCACAGAUGCAUGGGCAUGAUUUUGCGCUCGCGGGGACAGGGCAAUUUUGACGGUUGCCAAAUUAAUUGUGGUCAAGCAUAUUUCGACGACAAAAAGACGAAUAUGCUGCCGUAUUCCUCUUCAAUGGAGAAUCGUGGGGCGCUGAGGUUUGGACUGGUUGGACUCCAACUAUCUGUGAGGAUGUCGCCUUGAUUUGAGCGCGAUUAAGCGGGAGGAAGUGUGCUUUUGAUGAACGUGAGGGACGAAUAAAGAGCUUUGGCUACCUGUGGAAAUGCCGUCCUGAACAGGACGCGUCGCCGGCAAGAAAAGCGUGCGCGCGCAAUCGAACCCCCUCCCUCUAAGUAAAUCCUUGCAACUCGCCUGCUUUCACUUGUAAAACACGUGCAUGUCACGCAAGCAUUAUCAUUUCGAUGUCUAGUGCAACGUACCCUCUUUAAAAAAGGCUUACAACACAUUUGCGCCACCCUCGACACAUACAUGACACCUGCCAAGUUUGGUUGUCAUACGAUGAUUUUAAGGGACGGACGGACGGACGGACAUCGCGUCACGAAUACUCGAGUCGAUGGGUUACCAACAUUUCUAACCAUAUUUGUUUAUAUACCACUUUUUCUUAGGUAUGGGGCUCCGGUAUAAUGAUGGAUUCCAGUUUUUGGUGUAUUGCUAGCAUUUUCACACAUUCUUUAAAACUUCGAGGAAUUAACCGAUCGUAAUAUUUCUUUCCUCAAAUGGCUUGAAUUUCGCGAACAUAGUGUCGCGAAUAGUGUACAUAUGUUCAAGAGCAGUACUGUCAUUCCAGUAAGUUUUUGCACACAUGUCCUAGUUACUUUAGCAUCGAUAUAGGGCAAAAGGCUUAAAAGAGCACCUUUUUGGACCGACAUCAAAAAUUUUUGUAUUCGCAUGCACAAGCUACGCAAAACUUUACCUCAUCUAUCUCGAGCUUCUCGUCCGCUUCCAAUUGCUCUUCAACAGCUUCUUGCUUUUUUGGUGGUGGACCCUCACGAGUCUGUAAAAACAAUGGUUAUAUCUGAAAGGACAGCUAGGAGCCCCUAAAAAUACCCAAGUUCAUUUCCCAAACAGGAAGACUGAAAACAAUAGCGUCUGCCAAGUAUUGCUUCAGUCAAGAACGCUUUACAUAAAAAAUAAACAUGUUCAACAGUCCUCACUAUUAUUCGACUAUUCCUGUAAAAAGCAUCAUUUCCAAAUUUGUUUUACUCAUCGAUUCUUUCCUAGCAGUAGGUUGAUCAAUAUGUCUUAAAGAUCCGUGACUGUAGCGUAAAAAUAAUUUAAACCUUUAGAGGUAAACUUAUGCUUGUUGAUCGCAGAAGAACUGGGGACGAUGGACGAUGGUUUCUCUUCUUUCAUUUUUCUCUUCCUUAGCAUUGAUUUCACACCGCUUUUGUCCCCUGCCCCUUUUCCCUAACCUCUAAACGUAAUUUGUACCCUAGACUUCUAAAUACGUUGUAGUUUAGCUCCAUAUCGUUGACAGAACUGAUACAGCCUAACAAUAAAUGUAGCUCUGCCGCGUGGAACAACUCAAAUGGCCGAACCCGACGCUCCACGUGCCUAAAUUUAUUCGCUGAGGGCAUUCAUCCACUUUUGGCGGGAAUAUCUCGCGCCAUUUUCUAUGGCAUUUUCUAUAGCAAUCCGGUACUUUUAAACUAUGACAACUGUAUAUGCAUAAACUAUAUACUGAAAAUUACCCCGCUCGAGUGAUAAAGGGUGAAAUAUGGAAUAAGAAUGACAGACAUCGUGUAGUAUAAAGAUUUUUUGCACAAAUGCGGAAUAAAACAAGGUUUGAUCAAAAUUAUCAUCACAAUGCCAAGGGAAUGGAGAAUGGAUUAAGCAUUUAGCAAAACAAGUAUUUGUUUUCCUUUUUCAAGUCACAGAAGAAACAUUUAAUGCUUCCCUUGGAAAUGCUUGGCAAGCCUUUGGUUAAACAUAUCCUAGUUGCUCUUAGUUAUUAAGUUAUUAGAAAAGGAACAUGACUUGCAAGAUGCGAUUUGCGUUGAAGUAAGAUACGCAAGACAACACACAAAUAACUUACUUCGGACCUUCAUUCGUACUCAUUAAAAGAUGCCCAGACUUGUUAUUGAAUAACAAAGACGAUGAUGAAAUCCAUGUUUUUAGGAAUAGCCCAAAUCAUACGCGGACCAAAGUUUGAUUGACUCGCGCUAUUUCCCAAACGACACAAGAAUAUUGGAUUCGCCGAGGUCGCGAAACAACGAAUUUGGCUGUUAAUACUAUUACAGUAUCUAAGUUUUUCUCUGUUGCGUUUAUGCUUACUAGGCUCAUUCCAAAUAUCCCUUAAACAGAGCAUCACAAGGAGAUUUGACUAUCAUCUUCAGAGCCGCAAAGAAAAAAAACACUUUUUUGUCAGAAAAAAGACGUCAUUCUAUUAUAAAAUACUCUACAUUCUGAUUAUUCUUGGUUUUGUUUCUCAGAGUCAAAUUAGGUUUUCCUAUUUUCCACAAGAUUCUUUGAGUUUUUGUAGCAGAAGAAUUGGAAGAUUAUGUCUGAGCAAACAAAUGCGCCAAUAAGGCAACUUAAAUCAAAAUUAUAUUCCAGCAUAGAUACUAUUAGAUAGAUUUGAAUUUAAGUUUAAUCCAAACUUAGGAUCUUCUGUCUGUCGAGCAAUAGAGUAAAGAUGUUAUAAUAUUCAAUAAACAUUUAAAGUUCAUCCAAAAUAUGAAUUGUUGCUGAAACCAAAGCAUGACAUGCAGAUUUUUUCAAGGAUGAGUUAGUGUUCCGCAUCUUGAUUUUAGUGACUCAGAGCAAGAAGUUAAAUAUGCUCUGUUACGAGGUUUUGGGUGGUUCUUUUAUUGAAUCGGGGGUAGCCGGGGAUCGUACACGCUGAGCAAGGAUUGACCGUCUUCUUUGUUCUUUAUUGCACCGCUUGAGUGUUUACAAAUGGUAGAGCUACCACUGGCUAGCGGGAGGUUGGCUGUACGAAGGCAGGUACUUUCGGAAGGUAGUGAAGGAACAUCUCUUUCCCGGAAAGUCGACGGAGCCAACUUUAGAGAGUCCUGACUAAACCAACCUAGAGCACUGCCGUGUAGUGUCCUCGCAACAGUUACAGCACAAUCCUAGAGCUAGUUACUAUGCUGCUCAAUUUAUACUAAUCUCAUUAAUAAACUGGUCAAACUGGUUUUUAGGAUGAUGUAAGAAAAGAAGAUCGGGUGUUGACUUUGGGAAGAAAAUCAACGAUGAAAUAAUAAAUGACUUAGAAUAAAUUCCUUCGAUAGAAAUAGCAAGAGCAGUAUAAAAGGAAUAGUUUGACUAUAGUAAUAUGCAAAAUUAAGUAAUGUAACAGCGGUAAGAUUAAGGAUAAAAGUAAUCGUUAAACUAUUAUUUUAGCCUGGCAAAUAUAAAACCUGUUUUGCUAAACAGUAACUACGCAUGCUUAGUCAAACAAUGAAGAGAUCCACGUAAAGCAAAUAAGUGAAAUGUCGAAUGGAAAGUGAAAGUAAAUAUCUGACGUGUCGGAAACGACUUUUGCAUAGAUUAACAAUUCCUUCAUAACACUCGUCCUUCCUUUGAGAAAACUCGUCCUCGAGUUGAAAUUAAAUAAAAAUAUGAGUCAUCCAAUCUUUAGAAAAUAUAAUCGUAAUUCGACUUAACGUUUUGCCACAAUGAGCAUAUAUAAAUUCGUAAUUUUCUUCUUCCAUCAAUAACUUGCUUGUCAUCAUAGAUAUUCGUAUCUGCUUCUUGAAAAAUAUACAUAUAUGUAAACUUGGCUCUUUGGCUCUUUGAAAAUUAUCUUGAAUGCAUUUAAAAUACUUCUGAAACAACUUGUAAAGAUAGAAUUAUACUUCAAACUCCUUUUUUUGUUCAAAUGGCGAACAACAAGCUAAAUAAGCUAUAAUAUUUGCUAAGCUGGAGAAAUAAAGAUAUUUAAUUCAAAACGAUAUGGAAAAGGAAAGGAAACUGAUAUAAGACAAAACUGUAAUCCAUAAAAAAAACGAUCGACACUGUGAUCAGUAGUGAUACUAUACUUAUCUAUAUUCCUACGAGUUAAUCUGUGAUCAAUUUGCCAUACACAGAGUUCUUCUUGCUACUUUAUGGUAAAGCUUGAGGGUUGUUUUUCGCUGUUGUUCUUGCUCUUUUCGAGGUCUCUCUUCACUUAUCUGUUUUUUUUUUCAUUCUUGCUAUUCCUUUUUUUAUAGCUUCCCAAAGUUCUUCUUGUUUCUUUUCUUUUUUUUUUUCUUGUUAGUUGAACUGAUGACGUGUCCGGUUGAUUUGUGUUUUGUCAACUCCUUAAAAGAAGACUUUCUGUGGCCAACAGCUUACCCAGUGGGUUCUCCGCCAGUGUUACGAAGUUUUGGGUGGUUCUUUAAUGGUAUUAGGGGUAGCCGGGGAUCGUACACGCUGUGCAAGGCUUGACCGUCUUCGUUGUUCUUUAUUGCACCGCUUGAGUGUUUACAAAUGGUAGAGCUACCACUGGCUGGCGGGAGGUUGGCUGUACGAAGGCAAGUACUUUCGGAAGGUAGUGAAGGAACAUCUCUUUCCCGGAAAGUCGACGGAGCCAACUUUAGAGAGUCCUGACUAAACCAACCUAGAGCACUGCCGUGUAGUGUCCUCGCAACAGUUACAGUACAAUCCUAGAGCAAGUUACUAUGCUGCUCAAUUUAUACUAAUCUCAUUAAUAAACUGGUCAAACUGGUUUUUAGGAUGAUGUAAGAAAAGAAGAUCGGGUGUUGACUUUGGGAAGAAAAUCAACGAUGAAAUAAUAAAUGACUUAGAAUAAAUUCCUUCGAUAGAAAUAGCAAGAGCAGUAUAAAAGGAAUAGUUUGACUAUAGUAAUAUGCAAAAUUAAGUAAUGUAACAGCGGUAAGAUUAAGGAUAAAAGUAAUCGUUAAACUAUUAUUUUAGCCUGGCAAAUAUAAAACCUGUUUUGCUAAACAGUAACUACGCAUGCUUAGUCAAACAAUGAAGAGAUCCACGUAAAGCAAAUAAGUGAAAUGUCGAAUGGAAAGUGAAAGUUAAUAUAUGACGUGUCGGAAACGACUUUUGUAUAGAUUAACAAUUCCUUCAUAACAGCUCGUUGCAAAGGAACAAGUUCGUUGAUGGAAGGAGGAUUAAAAACUUUUUUUGUCAUUGUAACAAUGGAUUUAUCAAAAGGUAAAUGAUGUUUGCCAACUUGAUGUUUGUGCCUCAUAUAAACACAGUCAUCUACCAUGGUGCGCAAUCAAAAAUUCAUAACGUUCAAGGAAUAUCAAGAUUACAUCCAGUAAGUUGGGAACAUAUUCGAUUUUUUUGGAAAUCGAUGAAGAAUUUGUGGAAAUGAUUGCAGUGUUACCAAAAAAGCUUAAACCGUCAUCUUCAACGUUGCCAAUGUUCCUCCUAAAAGAAGACGUCGAUAAGGCCAAAUGAAAAUAUGCUGUUAAAUGUCAUUAGCGUAGCUUAUGUCUGUUGGGACUACGAGGAAUCAAGGCCGUCAAAUUAUAAUUUUAGCAUAAAAAUACAUAAGAAAUUCUAUUUCAUUGGUUUUCCUACGAGUUCCUGGCAUCACCUUUCGGUUGUGCAAUGAAAAUCAGUUUCUACCACUGAUGACUUCUACUGCAAGAUUUGGUUUGGAAGUCUUCCUUAGAAAAAUGCUUCCGCAAUCAAAGCAUAUUCAAGACUGGCUGAAGGCACAUUCCGCAAA